GUAAACAAAAUAAUAAUAAGUUUAUUUACGAACACAAAAAAACGAGAAAAUUCAAAAUUGAAGGACAGAUCCAGAUGACAGAAAUUAAAUGAGUGCCCUCACUGAGACACGCUUCUGUCUGGUCUCAAUAACACAAUAUCUUAAAAUAACGUUCACACCUUACAUAGUCAUUAGAGCAGGGCCGGCCUUAGAUAAUUGGAGGCCCUAGGCGAAGCGAAAUGGAUGACCCCAUAUGAAAUAUUUAAAAAAAAAUGUAGAACCAAAAAUAUGCUAUGAUUUAUAAACCGUCCUGUAUCCCAAUCUAAAUCAACCAAUAAGUUAACCUGAUUUAGCGCUAAUGUGUUUCAUGGAGGAUUCAUGAUCACCAGAGUAGAAACAACGUUUCACCAAAAGGAAGAAUCAAUGGUCUUCUAACAUAGGUAGUCUAACAAAUAGAUGUAAACAUUCCACAGAGUUCUGUUAUGUUUGAGAUUUAAUCCAUGUUUCUCUUAAAAAAUUUCUUUUUGAGUCCCUUUUCUAGGCCUCCACCAAUCGGAGGUCCUAGGUGGCUGCCUUGUUUGCUUACGCCUAAGGCCGACCCUGACUAGAGUUCAAACCAAAAACCUCUGACAUGUGAGGAUAUCAUACUAACUAGAGACUAUGUAGACAUAUAUUCACAGUAACCAACAUAUUCAUAACAUGAAUAUAUAAAUUCUACUUAGCUCGUCCUAGAAAAAAAAUAAUUCCAUCACAGUGGCACAGUCCUCUUAAGUAACUAGGUCAAAGCAAACCAACAAAAAGAAUAAUGUAAACAUAGUUCAAAUCAAUGUACGCUGGUCAGCUUUAUUAGAAACUCGUGAAAAAGUGGCGUCAAUUUUACACACGAAAUAGGGACGUCACAGAGAGAUAAGUAAUUAAAAAGAGAAACCUAAUAAUAACUUUAUUAGAACAAAGUCCCGAGAAAAUAUUUUUUUUUUUAAUUUUAUUUUAUAUCAACACUCCUAACUUAGCUUGCGAACUCCUCAUGAGUAAAAAAUAAAUAAUUUUUAUAUAUAUAUCAUAAGCGUAGCCGGGGGGGG